rnacentral:tRNA from 1 species
GGUAAUAGCUCAGUAGUAGAGCGCAUGCUUGGUUAGCAUGCACAAGGUCCUGGGUUCAACCCCCAGUACUUCCA